UGCACCAGGAACCUUUCUCUGCAGAGUCAGAUUCGUUGUUUUGCAUUAGGAGCUGAUGAAUGUAAAGCUGAGAUUUUCCCCGGGAAUCUGGAAGAGAAGCUGAAAUCACUUCAGUGAAAAGUGAGCCAGCUUGUGUGCAUGUUGAUGUGGAGGAAAAUGGGAUCUGCAGGUAAAAGAGGAUUUGAUGACUGGAAAAAUGGUGAAGAAGUGGACACAAUUAAAGAAAGGCAUACAGUCCUGAUCACCUUAUCUCAAAACAAAUCAGUUGCAUAUAUAAAUAAUUGAAAAAACCCUUUAAAAUGAGACUUUUAAGGAAGCAGUGUUGUCCAAAAUGAUGUUAAUGAUAAGGCAAGAGUUCAAGAGGAGCAAAACCAUAUACAUUUCAACCACUCUUCAGUGCCAUGCUGAAAACGUG